UAAGUAGUUUGCAGGCAAGCAGAGGUGGAACCGAGCUGGGACAGACACGGCUUUGGUUUCAGGGCCCUCCCUGCCUGCUGAUAACAGAGAAACAACAGAUCAACUCCCAGAGGCUGGUUCACCUGGCAGCCAGGUAGGAGGGCGGGUCUGGGGGCAGGAGCAGAGCAGAGCAUUGCUGGACAAAGGCAGGAGAGGGCUCCCUGUCACCCACGGGGACAACAGUGGCAACCAAAAAAGAACCAAAGCAGAAAGGACUGCACCCCUUGGAGCCCUGGCCUCUCCUGCCCAAGCACUCAGGAGCACAGGGAAGGAGGCAGGCAGGCAACUCAGCCAGCAGCACCCACAGGGAGUGAGGAUGAGGAGCAGGGGUGAAGCCAAGGAGAGCAGCUUCCCAAGAGACUCUUUCUCUAAAGGCAGUGGGGCACAGACUGGAUUCUCACAUUUCCCCUGCUCUGUUCACUCACUACAGAAAGAGUUUGGACAAACACCUCCCUGUGCUCGAUGUGGCAGCCAGGGAACCCCAGAAAACAGGGAUUGGGAGUGGGAGAGAAGCACAGACACACAUGGAAACAGGACUGGAUGUCCUGGUGAUGGCAGAGGCAUGGACUCCCUGCCAUGGAACAACACCAUCACCAGUUCAAGUUCACUUCCCGCUUCCUCUGUGUGCCCUCACUCAUGAACUCAGGAUCACAUCUCCUGCUUUGAGGAGAAACAAACCCCAAGACACCUGGAGAAGGUGGAUAAUGUGCAGGGCACCCAUGGACACACAUAAGCAAAGACUUCUUGCAGUCCCUCCUCCUCCUCCCAGUCUCCUCAAAUCUUUCCAACCCAGGAUCUUACAAGUCAUCCCAUCUCAUUAGUGCUUGGAAUGAAGACUGAGGCAGGAACAUUUUCCAAAAAUAAAAUUUGGGUGUAUUUA